GUGAGCUCUCUAGAGCCUGAGGAAGAAGUCACUGGAUUGUACCACACGGGGUUGGGGGGGAGGAGAAUCUAUCCACAUACCUCAGGCUUCACACGCAUGACCUUUUCUUCCCUUCUUCAAAGGACACUAACCCUAUGAUAAAGCCCUUAUCCUGCGUGCCACUUCUCAAAGGCUCCAUCCCUGAACACCCCCACACCAGGCCUAUGAAUAUAGAAGGAGCAGCAAGCUUGACUACAGAGCUGUCCUUUCCAGCCACCAUUCAUUGCUGCUAGAGUUUGCAUGUUGUAUGCCCUCCUCCAAUCCUGUGUGUUAAUGACGUGGUUGUCAAUGGGUACUACUGGGGUUGGUGAGGCCCCUGAGAAGCAAGAAGGUCCAUUGAGGGUGUGCCAUUAAAGAAGACUGGUACCUAGAGACCUUCUUUUUUCUCUUUUGCUCCCUGGUUUAUGCUGUAACCGGGUCCCAUGCCACAAACGCCCAGCCACAUGAUCUGGCCUCAUGACAAGAGCUAGGCCAACUGAACAUGGGCUGAAAUUCCAAAACUGUGACCUAUGAACUUGUGUUUUUUUUAACAUGGUGAUUAUUUCAGGUCUUUUGUAGUAGUAACAUGACACCUACCAACAGUUUCCCAAAGGGGACCUAUGCAAGAGUAGCUUCAGUGACCGAUGGUAAGAUCAUCUGAAUGUGAACUGUUCCCCAUAAGCACACACAUUUGCUCACUUGGCCUGUAGCUGGUAGCAAUCUUUGGAAUAUUCAUCCUGGUCUAGGAAGUCCUUGUUAGGGGAAUUCUCCCGUGGCCUCUGAGACUCAGGGCAGGACACUUGAAGCGGACCGUGUGGCUGGUUCACUCUCACCAUGGUCAUCUUCCCAGGGUGGUCUUGAUUCCCACGUAGUUGUGUCCCAUGACUUCAACUGUUCUGGGGGGCAUAAGUAGACUAUGAAGUCUUUCUCAAGUCAGUCACCAGAGUAGCACGAGCUGUGUUGUCACCAUCAGUGUGAAGAAAUGGCCCCAGGGGACAUAAGGCUACAAGAGGAGUGAUGCAGCCACCCGAUUUGCUGUGAGGCAUUCUGGGUGCUGCCACACAUUCACGGAAGGAAAAGCUAAACUGAUCCAGCACAGCCAACAGCUUCACAUCCCAAGAUGGACACCCAGCCCUGGAAGAAGGAAUCCUCUGUGUGGCGACUCAAAUUCAUGAAGCACUAAAAACCUCUCUUUGGGGAUCCUUCCCCUCUCGGGGAGGAUGCUGUUAACUGUGUGUGCAUGGAUGUGUGAGCCUGUGCACACUCACACACUCACUUUAACCUUCUCCAGUGCCAGCUGUCAACAGCAACCCAAACACCUGACAUCCGGUUUCUCCCCCAUCUCAAAAUGGCCUUUUGGCUCCUCAGAGGAGCACCUGAUGUAUCUCACAGAAUUAUCUCUGUCCUCCCUGGCUCAGUGGUCUGAAACCUACAUUUAGUGACUCUUCCCUCCCCAUCCUCUCCUACCCACCCUCUCUCCUCCUGUCAAGCAAAGUCACUCAACACCCAGAGUGAGCUCAUCACCGGAGCAGCAACAGAGUGCUCCAAGGUCUGGCUCUGUACUGCAGCCAUGGGACAAAGAAGGACUGAAGCUCCAAGAAUCAGUGCCCAGCCUAAGGUAGCUUCUGCCCCAACCCCAUCCAACACCGCUCUGUGCCCAUCACAUACCAUUUAUCUUCUUGACCAAAUUUAGAAGUUGGGUAGAGGCGACUCCACACCAUAGUCUGUCUGCGGUCAAGGGACAUCAGAAUGUUCAAUCUUUCCUGUCUGCUUAGCACACAGCUCUCUUAUAAUUCCUCAGCUUUCUCUUUAAUACUGAGACAUCUCUCUGAUUUCUUGGUUUAUAUGGAAUGAAGAAUCAGACUUCCCUUAAGGUUGUCUGAAUUUACUUGGUCUAGCCAGCCUCAUCUUUAACUGGGUAAGAAGCAGUGAAACCAUCGCUCGUAGUUAGGGUUUCUGUU
rnacentral:sRNA from 1 species